rnacentral:rRNA from 1 species
CCACGUGAGCAACCUGCCCUGAACUCUGGGAUAAGCGCUGGAAACGGCGUCUAAUACUGGAUAUGAGCUGCGGAGGCAUCUUCGUGGUUGGAAAGAUUUUUCGGUUUGGGAUGGGCUCGCGGCCUAUCAGCUUGUUGGUGAGGUAAUGGCUCACCAAGGCGUCGACGGGUAGCCGGCCUGAGAGGGUGACCGGCCACACUGGGACUGAGACACGGCCCAGACUCCUACGGGAGGCAGCAGUGGGGAAUAUUGCACAAUGGGCGGAAGCCUGAUGCAGCAACGCCGCGUGAGGGAUGACGGCCUUCGGGUUGUAAACCUCUUUUAGCAGGGAAGAAGCGAGAGUGACGGUACCUGCAGAAAAAGCGCCGGCUAACUACGUGCCAGCAGCCGCGGUAAUACGUAGGGCGCAAGCGUUUAUCCCGGAAUUAUUGGGCGUAAAGAGCCUCGUAGGCGGUUUGUCGCGUCUGCUGUGAAAUCCGGAGGCUCAACCYUCSAGCCUGCAGUGGGUACGGGCAGACUAGAGUGCGGUAGGGGAGAUUGGAAUUCCUGGUGUAGCGGUGGAAUGCGCAGAUAUCAGGAGGAACACCGAUGGCGAAGGCAGAUCUCUGGGCCGUAACUGACGCUGAGGAGCGAAAGGGUGGGGAGCAAACAGGCUUAGAUACCCUGGUAGUCCACCCCGUAAACGUUGGGAACUAGUUGUGGGGUCMAUUCCACGGAUUCCGUGACGCAGCUAACGCAUUAAGUUCCCCGCCUGGGGAGUACGGCCGCAAGGCUAAAACUCAAAGGAAUUGACGGGGACCCGCACAAGCGGCGGAGCAUGCGGAUUAAUUCGAUGCAACGCGAAGAACCUUACCAAGGCUUGACAUACACGAGAACGCUGCAGAAAUGUAGAACUCUUUGGACACUCGUGAACAGGUGGUGCAUGGUUGUCGUCAGCUCGUGUCGUGAGAUGUUGGGUUAAGUCCCGCAACGAGCGCAACCCUCGUUCUAUGUUGCCAGCACGUAAUGGUGGGAACUCAUGGGAUACUGCCGGGGUCAACUCGGAGGAAGGUGGGGAUGACGUCAAAUCAUCAUGCCCCUUAUGUCUUGGGCUUCACGCAUGCUACAAUGGCCGGUACAAAGGGCUGCAAUACCGCGAGGUGGAGCGAAUCCCAAAAAGCCGGUCCCAGUUCGGAUUGAGGUCUGCAACUCGACCUCAUGAAGUCGGAGUCGCUAGUAAUCGCAGAUCAGCAACGCUGCGGUGAAUACGUUC